rnacentral:rRNA from 1 species
AGCGAACGCUGGCGGCAGGCCUGACACAUGCAAGUCGAACGGAUCCUUCGGGAUUAGUGGCGGACGGGUGAGUAACACGUGGGAACGUGCCCUUUGGUUCGGAACAACUCAGGGAAACUUGAGCUAAUGCCGGAUGUGCCCUUCGGGGGAAAGAUUUAUCGCCAUUGGAGCGGCCCGCGUCUGAUUAGCUAGUUGGUGAGGUAAAGGCUCACCAAGGCGACGAUCAGUAGCUGGUCUGAGAGGAUGAUCAGCCACAUUGGGACUGAGACACGGCCCAAACUCCUACGGGAGGCAGCAGCGGGGAAUCUUGCGCAAUGGGCGAAAGCCUGACGCAGCCAUGCCGCGUGAAUGAUGAAGGUCUUAGGAUUGUAAAAUUCUUUCACCGGGGACGAUAAUGACGGUACCCGGAGAAGAAGCCCCGGCUAACUUCGUGCCAGCCGCCGCCGUAA